CAGAGCUCCUGGCAUCCGAGUGACAUUUGUGGAGUGAAUGAGUGAGCCCCAGGAGCGGGGAGCCAGCGUGGGUCUUAGGGAUGAUCUGGCCCAGGAGCCGUCCUCUUCUAUUUGUGGCACAGAGCCUCUUCCCAAAUGGAAUCUAUGCAGAGCCUCAGAGCCGAGACGCAGCAGCCUGAGCCUUGCCCUCCUGGCUCUGUCUCCAGGCGGCGAGGGCCCUGACCGAACCCGGGACGCCGCAGGUGGCCGAGUUGUCAGGACCAGCCCCUCAGCCCUGGGUUUCCCCAGCUGCCCCGCUCUGAUCUUUGGAACAGAGGCGCAAUGGGACAUGGCGUUUCGAAGCGUCAGAAGCAGUGUCAGAGGUGGUCAGAGUUCCGUGUAUUGGAGAAAAAUGUCAUGCAGAAAUGUAUGCGGGAACCGAUGACUCAUUCCUGGGCGUUGAGAGCAGCAGACUCAUGGGGGCGGACGUGCACCGGACAGCUCGAGACUCCUCUGGCCUCGGGGACCUGGUUUCAGGAGCAAGCUUCAGAGGCCUUGCGGAAGUUGAGGAAAGCAAUAGGAUCCCCUCCACCUAUGAGAUCUGGGCACCUGUGAGCUUUGGAGAGAAACUGAUGGAGUGAAAGAAACAAACAGGGGUCAAUACAAUGCUGGGAGCUGCCGGAAAGGAAGGAACACCAAGGUAGGGCGGACGCAUGCCUUUCACGGCAGAGAGUCGGCCGACACUGAAUUGAAUACAAUCCUGUCAAACAGGACAAAUCAACCAGAGGCUCAUCAAUUAAUCUGUGCCUGAUGCCUACACGUACAUGGACCUCCUGAAUGUGAUUUUAACAGAGUCAGCCAGAGCUGCCCGGAAGGAGGAGGUCCUUCCUGGAGCCCCGAC
rnacentral:lncRNA from 1 species